UACGAAGGGGGCUAGCGUUGUUCGGAUUUACUGGGCGUAAAGCGCACGUAGGCGGAUCUUUAAGUCAGAGGUGAAAUCCCAAGGCUCAACCUUGGAACUGCCUUUGAUACUGGGGAUCUUGAGUCCGGGAGAGGUGAGUGGAACUGCGAGUGUAGAGGUGAAAUUCGUAGAUAUUCGGCGGAACACCAGUGGCGAAGGCGACUCACUGGCCCGAUACUGACGCUGAGACGCGGAAGCGUGGGGAGCAAACAGG
rnacentral:rRNA from 1 species